CGUCUAUCGGAAUUCUUGUUUAAAUGAAAGCCCCAUAAGUAAAAGUAAUCAGUGACAUUUAUUUUUAACUUCUCAAUUAUAAUCUAAUUAAACCUACGCACAACACGUCCGCCAUUGCGAGUACGAGGGGACCGGGAAUGAGGGUGUCAUUUUGACAGCUCCACAGAUAAAGUAUUUUAUCGAAUAAGACCGAAUGAAUGAUUAUAUUCAACACCCCGGCUCAAGAUCAAGUCUCAAUUUUCUUGGCCAAAUUGACUUGAACUUGCAGACAAUAAAUUUAAUCUUUAAAUAGCAACACUUGGCAUGAGCUGUCACAAUGACACUUGACAUUUGACAUUGACACUAAAAUUUUAGGUUAUACUAUACUUAUCUUACGUCUCGAUACAAAACAAGUCUGAAAUAUUCAAAAAAUCAAUAUUAAUCAACACAACUCUGAUGCUAUAAUGUGGUUAAAACAUAAUACAACUAAAAUAUUAAUCGCAAACUAAUACAAUCCAAGAGAUUUACAGAAAUAGUUAUGUUUAACCUGGCACAAAGACUUUAUAACGAUGCUGCGUAGUAUUCAGAUUCCGCUGUGGACAGUGAGACCGAUGAUUGCUUCUUGGAACUCCAACUGACCAAGUUGCCUUUGUGGAAGAUUGCAACUCCACUCACACUUUUGCGGUCCAUUUGCUCGGAUCCCCAAUCUGAAUCUGAAAAAGCUAUUAAAUUAUUAUUUUCUUCUCUUUUAUAUAUUAAUCCCAUAUGUUUUGUUUGUUGCAGGUAUCUGAGGAUUCUCUUCGCAGCUGUCCAUAAAGUUGGUGUUGGGCAGUGCAAGUAUCUACUUAAAAACCCAGUGGCAUAAGCGAUGUCUGGCCUGCUGAUAGUAGCCAAGUACAUGAGUGAGCCUAUGAGCUCUCUGUAAGGGAUGUUUUCCAUGAUUUCUUCGUUUUCAUUUAUUUUUAGUCCGACUUCCAUUGGUGUAUUGCAACCCUUGCAAUCUUGCAUAUGAAAUUUUAAUAAAAUCUUUUCAAUUA